UUCGGGAACUCUGACACAGGUGCUGCAUGGCUGCGUCAGCUCGUGUCGUGAGAUGUUGGGUUAAGUCCCGUAACGAGCGCAACCCUUGUCCUUAGUUACCAGCACGUUAUGGUGGGCACUCUAAGGAGACUGCCGGUGACAAACCGGGGGAAGGUGGGGAUGACGUCAAGUCAUCAUGGCCCUUACGGCCUGGGCUACACACGUGCUACAAUGGUCGGUACAAAGGGUUGCCAAGCCGCGAGGUGGAGCUAAUCCCAUAAAACCGAUCGUAGUCCGGAUCGCAGUCUGCAACUCGACUGCGUGAAGUCGGAAUCGCUAGUAAUCGUGAAUCAGAAUGUCACGGUGAAUACGUUCCCGGGCCUU
rnacentral:rRNA from 1 species